GGUUAAGCGACUAAGCGUACACGGUGGAUGCCCUGGCAGUCAGAGGCGAUGAAGGACGUGCUAAUCUGCGAAAAGCGUCGGUAAGGUGAUAUGAACCGUUACAGCCGGCGAUGUCCGAAUGGGGAAACCCAGUGCAAUUCGUUGCACUAUCGUUAACUGAAUACAUAGGUUAACGAGGCGAACCGGGGGAACUGAAACAUCUAAGUACCCCGAGGAAAAGAAAUCAACCGAGAUUCCCCCAGUAGCGGCGAGCGAACGGGGAGCAGCCCAGAGUCUGAAUCAGCUUGUGUGUUAGUGGAACGGUCUGGAAAGUCCGACGGUACAGGGUGAUAGUCCCGUACACCAAAAUGCACAGGUUGUGAACUCGAAGAGUAGGGCGGGACACGUGGUAUCCUGUCUGAAUAUGGGGGGACCAUCCUCCAAGGCUAAAUACUCCUGACUGACCGAUAGUGAACCAGUACCGUGAGGGAAAGGCGAAAAGAACCCCGGCGAGGGGAGUGAAAAAGAACCUGAAACCGUGUACGUACAAGCAGUGGGAGCACCUUCGGGUGUGACUGCGUACCUUUUGUAUAAUGGGUCAGCGACUUAUAUUCUGUAGCAAGGUUAACCGUAUAGGGGAGCCGCAGGGAAACCGAGUCUUAACUGGGCGUUAAGUUGCAGGGUAUAGACCCGAAACCCGGUGAUCUAGCCAUGGGCAGGUUGAAGGUUGGGUAACACUAACUGGAGGACCGAACCGACUAAUGUUGAAAAAUUAGCGGAUGACUUGUGGCUGGGGGUGAAAGGCCAAUCAAACCGGGAGAUAGCUGGUUCUCCCCGAAAGCUAUUUAGGUAGCGCCUCGUGAACUCAUCUUCGGGGGUAGAGCACUGUUUCGGCUAGGGGGUCAUCCCGACUUACCAACCCGAUGCAAACUACGAAUACCGAAGAAUGUUAUCACGGGAGACACACGGCGGGUGCUAACGUCCGUCGUGAAGAGGGAAACAACCCAGACCGCCAGCUAAGGUCCCAAAGUCAUGGUUAAGUGGGAAACGAUGUGGGAAGGCACAGACAGCCAGGAUGUUGGCUUAGAAGCAGCCAUCAUUUAAAGAAAGCGUAAUAGCUCACUGGUCGAGUCGGCCUGCGCGGAAGAUGUAACGGGGCUAAACCAUGCACCGAAGCUGCGGCAGCGACACUAUGUGUUGUUGGGUAGGGGAGCGUUCUGUAAGCCUGCGAAGGUGUGCUGUGAGGCAUGCUGGAGGUAUCAGAAGUGCGAAUGCUGACAUAAGUAACGAUAAAGCGGGUGAAAAGCCCGCUCGCCGGAAGACCAAGGGUUCCUGUCCAACGUUAAUCGGGGCAGGGUGAGUCGACCCCUAAGGCGAGGCCGAAAGGCGUAGUCGAUGGGAAACAGGUUAAUAUUCCUGUACUUGGUGUUACUGCGAAGGGGGGACGGAGAAGGCUAUGUUAGCCGGGCGACGGUUGUCCCGGUUUAAGCAUGUAGGCUGGUUAUCCAGGCAAAUCCGGAUAAUCAAGGCUGAGGUGUGAUGACGAGGCACUACGGUGCUGAAGUAACAAAUGCCCUGCUUCCAGGAAAAGCCUCUAAGCAUCAGGUAACAUCAAAUCGUACCCCAAACCGACACAGGUGGUCAGGUAGAGAAUACCAAGGCGCUUGAGAGAACUCGGGUGAAGGAACUAGGCAAAAUGGUGCCGUAACUUCGGGAGAAGGCACGCUGGUGUGUAGGUGAAGUCCCUGCGGAUGGAGCUGAGACCAGUCGAAGAUACCAGCUGGCUGCAACUGUUUAUUAAAAACACAGCACUGUGCAAACACGAAAGUGGACGUAUACGGUGUGACGCCUGCCCGGUGCCGGAAGGUUAAUUGAUGGGGUUAUCCGUAAGGAGAAGCUCUUGAUCGAAGCCCCGGUAAACGGCGGCCGUAACUAUAACGGUCCUAAGGUAGCGAAAUUCCUUGUCGGGUAAGUUCCGACCUGCACGAAUGGCGUAAUGAUGGCCAGGCUGUCUCCACCCGAGACUCAGUGAAAUUGAACUCGCUGUGAAGAUGCAGUGUACCCGCGGCAAGACGGAAAGACCCCGUGAACCUUUACUAUAGCUUGACACUGAACAUUGAGCCUUGAUGUGUAGGAUAGGUGGGAGGCUUUGAAGCGUGGACGCCAGUCUGCGUGGAGCCAACCUUGAAAUACCACCCUUUAAUGUUUGAUGUUCUAACGUUGGCCCCUGACCGGGGUUGCGGACAGUGUCUGGUGGGUAGUUUGACUGGGGCGGUCUCCUCCCAAAGCGUAACGGAGGAGCACGAAGGUUAGCUAAUCCUGGUCGGACAUCAGGAGGUUAGUGCAAUGGCAUAAGCUAGCUUGACUGCGAGCGUGACGGCGCGAGCAGGUGCGAAAGCAGGUCAUAGUGAUCCGGUGGUUCUGAAUGGAAGGGCCAUCGCUCAACGGAUAAAAGGUACUCCGGGGAUAACAGGCUGAUACCGCCCAAGAGUUCAUAUCGACGGCGGUGUUUGGCACCUCGAUGUCGGCUCAUCACAUCCUGGGGCUGAAGUAGGUCCCAAGGGUAUGGCUGUUCGCCAUUUAAAGUGGUACGCGAGCUGGGUUUAGAACGUCGUGAGACAGUUCGGUCCCUAUCUGCCGUGGGCGCUGGAGAAUUGAGGGGGGCUGCUCCUAGUACGAGAGGACCGGAGUGGACGCAUCACUGGUGUUCGGGUUGUCAUGCCAAUGGCACUGCCCGGUAGCUAAAUGCGGAAGAGAUAAGUGCUGAAAGCAUCUAAGCACGAAACUUGCCCCGAGAUGAGUUCUCCCUGAGACUAUAAGUCUCCUGAAGGAACGUUGAAGACGACGACGUUGAUAGGCCGGGUGUGUAAGCGCAGCGAUGCGUUGAGCUAACCGGUACUAAUGAACCGUGAGGCUUAACCUU
rnacentral:rRNA from 1 species